CUACGGGGCGCUCCAGUGAGGAAUAUUGCACAAUGGGGGAAACCCUGAUGCAGCAACGCCGCGUGGAGGAUGACGCAUUUCGGUGUGUAAACUCCUUUUAUCAGAGAAGAAAAUGACGGUAUCUGAUGAAUAAGCUCCGGCUAACUCCGUGCCAGCAGCCGCGGUAAUAGGGAGGGAGCAAGCGUUAUUCGGAAUCACUGGGCGUAAAGGACGCGUAGGCGGGUUUUUAAGUCAGGUGUGAAAUCCUAUGGCUCAACCAUAGAACUGCACUUGAAACUGGGGACCUAGAGUAUGGAAGGGGCAGGUGGAAUUAGUGGUGUAGGGGUAAAAUCCGUAGAUAUCACUAGGAAUACCGAAAGCGAAGGCGACCUGCUGGGACACUACUGACGCUGAGGCGUGAAAGCGUGGGGAGCAAACAGGAUAGAUACCCGAGUAGUC
rnacentral:rRNA from 1 species